GAUGAACGCUGACAGAAUGCUUAACACAUGCAAGUCAACUUGAACUUCGGUUUGGGUGGCGGACGGGUGAGUAACGCGUAAAGAACUUGCCUCACAGAUAGGGACAACAUUUGGAAACGAAUGCUAAUACCUGAUAUUAUGAUUAUAUGGCAUCGUAUAAUUAUGAAAGCUAUAUGCGCUGUGAGAGAGCUUUGCGUCCCAUUAGCUAGUUGGAGAGGUAACGGCUCACCAAGGCGAUGAUGGGUAGCCGGCCUGAGAGGGUGAUCGGCCACAAGGGAACUAGGACACGGCCCUUACUCCGACGGGAGGCAGCAGUGGGAAAUAUUGGACAAUGGACCAAGAGUCUGAUCCAGCAAUUCUGUGUGCACGAUGAAGUUUUUCGGAAUGUAAAGUGCUUUCAGUUGGGAAGAAAAAAAUGACGGUACCAACAGAAGAAGUGACGGCUAAAUACGUG
rnacentral:rRNA from 1 species